CUCUGUAAAUCCCGAAACUUUUAUUUAAUUAGUUUUAUAAUAUUCAUGGAUUUGUAAAAUUAUUUUGGUGAUUUUUCGGGAAUGUUUUAUUAUGAAUAGUAUCUGUAAAUAAGCUAAUUGCGGGUAUUAGCCAGGGAUUGUUCUACAAAAAAUAGGACACGCAGCAGCAUGAGAGUGUGACACGUACCCCUAUAUUCCACCGCCUGUACUCCCUUUCUUCUUUCCUUUUCUUAAUGUCAUCACUUUUGAAACCUCAAGUCUCGGUCUCUCCUACCUCUCGUUCUCUCCCCAACUGAGUGUUCUUUUCCUCCUCCCUGCCUUUUUCAUUCCUGCAGCUGUGUGAUUAAUUGGGGGAGAGUGAAAUUAGGGUUUGUCCGUCUUCACUCAAUCAAAGGUAAUCAACUCUCGUUUUGAUUAAUUGUGAUUCUUAAACUUGAUUAUAUGCAUAAGUGUCUGUAUACUUGUGUAUGUAUGUAUUUGUGUGGCUGUUCGUUUCGACUGGAGAUGAUGACAACACUGUUGGUGGAGGGCCGUGGUGGUGAUGUGGUGGUGUAUAUAUAGCUGUGUGUUAUGUUCUUAAAAUGGGUUUUUUUGUGUAAUUUGAGUUGUGGUGUUAGAAUUGAGGCAAUUGUUGUCAAGCUUCGCAGCGGUAAUGUCCUGUUUUGUAGCUUUGUUCUAGGACUAUUAAGUUCAAUUACUAUGCUUAAUUUCCCUGUGAUUAUAUGCUCCUUGAAGUCUAGAUUAAGUGCGAAAAAGAAUUUCAAAGUUUCGUUAAAUGAGCUAAAAGUUAUGAAUUAAUUAGUGACUCUAUGUCUAGAUGACAAAAUUCUGCUAUGUGACAUAUGUGUGCACUGCCCUAUUUUGACAUGUGUAUUUCAAACUGAUAUAAGAUUAAUUGGUGAAUGGAUUGAUUUAUAUUGAUGUCUCUUAAGGUAUAAAAUCAGUACCAAAAGGAUUUAGGUUGAUUGGAUUAAUAAGAUUAAAGUUAUGUUAGAUUUUUAAGAGAUAUGCUACAUGAUUAGAUGCUGAGUAAUAUGUUAUGAUUUUGAUGUGUCUUGUAUGCAAAGUCUGUACAACAUAGAAUAGAAUUAAAAUACUGAACCUCUGAGACUAUAUGCUAUGUGGAAUCAAGGAUCUAUGCCAAGUGGAAUUAAUCAAUUUGGAUUAGUAAAUAUUAAGAUAUGAAUUUUUAUGUGUACGGUGUUAUUAGAGCCCUGCUGUGAUGCUUUCUCUGCACCAUGUUGAACUUCCAAAAUUUAUACUAAAUUAAUUAUGUGUUGGAACUUGUUUGUUUGACCUCUGUAACUUAGCUAUUCGAGUUCUAUAUGAUUUCUAUUCUCUGAGUUCCUUGAUUUGGUGCUUAUAAAAUGAAUUUCUAAAAAUACAAAAAUGAUUUGAAAAAUUCUUUCAAUUACUUGAAAAUUAUAAUGAAUAUUUUUAGGAGUUUUUAAAAUAUUAAAUAUAUUAUUUUUGUAAAAGUUUGAUGUUUAAAUAUUUUCUGAACGCAAUUAAUUUCUAAAUUGCGUAUAAAUUUCAUAAGUACUCGAUAAAUCUCAAAACUUUUAUUUCAUUGGUCUUAUAACAUUCCGGGAUUUAUAAAAAUAUUUCGGUAGCUGUCGGAAGAAAUUUUACUGCAAGUUUUUCCCUGAAUUAGUUGAUAUCGGGUAUUUAGGAUUGAAUAUCAGAUUAAAAGGAGGUGUGACAUGUGUCCCAAUAUUCCACCGCCUAUACUCCCUUUCUUCUUUCCUUUUCUAUAUUUCAUCACUUUUAAAACAUCAAGUCUCAGUCUCUCGCAUCUCUCGUUGUUGAGCCUCAACUAGUGUUCUCUUCCUCCUCUCUGCCUUUUCAAUCUUGCAACCGUGUGAUUAAUUAGGAGAGAGUGAAAUUAGGGUUUGGGAUUUUUCAACCAAUCAAAGGUAAUCAUCUCUCGUUUCGAUUAAUUGCGAUUCUUAAACUUGAUUAUAUGCAUAAGUGUGUGUAUACUUGUGUAUGUAUGUAUCUGUGUGGCUGUUCGCUUUAACUGGAGAUGAUGACAACAUUGUUGGUGGUUUGGUGGUGGAGCUGUGGUGUUGAUGUGGUGGUGUAUAUAUAGCUGUGUACAUGUUCUUAGAAUGGGUUUUGUGUAAUUUGAGAUGUGGUAUUAGAAUUGAGUCAAUUGUUGUCAAGCUUCGCAGCGGUAAUGUCCUGUUUUGUAGCUUUGUUCUAGGACUGUUAAGUUCGAUUACUAUGCUUAAUUUUCCUGCGAUUAUAUGCUCCUUGAAGUCUAGAUUAAGUGCGAAAAAGAAUUUCAAAGUUUCGUUAAAUGAGCUAAAAGUUAUGAAUGAAUUAGUGACUCUUUGUCUAGAUGAGAAAAUUCUGCUAUGUGACAUAUGUGUGCAUUGCCCUGUUUUGACAUGUGUACUCCAAACUGACAUAAGAUUAAUUGGUAAAUUGAUUAACUUAUAAUGAUGUUUCUUAAGGUAUAAAAUCAGUACCAAGAGGAAUUAGGUUGAUUGGAUUAAUAAGAUUAAAGUUAUGUUAGAUUUUUUUUAAGAGAUAUACUACAUGAUUAGAUGCUGAGUAAUAUGUUAUGAUUUUGAAGUGUCUUGUAUGCAAAGUCUGUAUAACAUAGAAUAGAAUUAAAAUACCAAACCUCUGAGACUAUAUGCUAUGUGGAAUCAAGGAUCUAUGCCAAGUGGAAUUAAUCAAUUUGGAUUAGUACAUAUUAAGAUAAGAAUUUUUAUGUAUCCGGUGUUAUUAGAGCCCUGCUGUGAUGCUUUCUCUGCACCAUGUUGAACUUUCAAAAUUUAUACUAAAUUAAUUAUGUGUUGGAACUUGUUUGUUUGACCUCUGUAACUUGGCUAUGUGAGUUCUCUAUGAUUUCUAUUCUUUGAGUUUCUUGAUUUGGUGCUUGCUUCUAUUUUAUGAAAAUUGAUCAAGUCAAGUAUGUCAAAACCAUACUACACUGUCCUGUUUUGCUAAAUGAUGCAUUAUGUACUAACUAUAACUGAUUAAAUGGCGAGUCUUUUUGUGUUGAUCAGAUAAUUUCAAGUAUGACGUCUCCUGUUUGUAUUGUCUUGGAAAAUUAUGUAAUCUAGUGUUCUAUAAGUUAGCAAAAUUGAGAGGGUUGUUGCUGAUUUGUAUUAAGAAGUCAACUUAAUUAAUGAUUUCCUGUUUUAUUACUUGAUCACUUUUUGCAUACUAUAUAUGGUUAGAAAGAUCUUGGAAUGCUCUAUCUUUUUUUGUUUAAUGUAUCUAUAAAUGAGAUUUCCGAAUGCUAGUAAAAUGCAAAUCUCUUGGUGUCUGUCCAGCAGUUUAUGGGCUUUAUGAAUUGUCGAGUUAGAAUUAUAUGUAUUGUUCUAUGACUUGCAUCUAGACUUAAAGUUGAAUCAUUGUUUGGCUGAGAUAUGUGAGUUAUUGAUGUGUGAUUGUGUUUUAAUUGAUAAUUGGUUCGGUACUUGUUGGUUUAUUGAGUUGGAUUGGGUUGGUUAUUUGUUGAGUUGUAUAGGGAGUUAGAAAACUGUUUUGUUAAUAACUUUUGAUACGUAAUUCAGAAUCGAGUGAAACGAAAAAGAGGUUAAAGCUUAGAAACUCUAGUUUAAUAUAAUGUAACAAUAUGAUUGAGUUUCCAAUGUGUAUAAAGAUUGUUGAAAAUGCAUAAUGUGACUAUACGUGAUCUAUUUGCUAUAUAGUGAUGAUUAUAUCAAAUACGUAUCCAUUUGAUUUGAUAAACGAUUUGGGAGACAUAGCAUCUUGUCUUGAUUAAUGUUGAAUAAGAAUAUGUAGAUUACAGGAAUUUGAGUUGAUUGAUUGGUCGUUGGUUGAAAUAGGCUGACAGAUGGAUAGUCCUAUAAAUAGACAAGACGCUGUCAGAUUUUCAAUAGGAUUUAUAUGGUUAUUGAGUUGUAGUAUGCUACAUGGAGUAUGAUGUGACUAUAUGAUAAAGUCAAAGCAUGAUUAUAUGUUAAGUGAUACCUGAUAAGUGCAUAGAGAUUAUAUAGGGUGAUAUGUGAUUAUGUGUUAAAUGCUAUCGAUAUAAGUGAUAUGUAUAUGCGAUAGGUUAUGAUACCGAGUUUGAUAAGUAAGAUAAGAAUUAAUAGAUUAUUUAGUAAUUAUGGUAGUAUUUUAUUCUCGUAAAGGAUUUGGACGAGGCGUAUACGACCGAAGACGUUCAGAAAGUCAAACGGUGUUCCAAAGCGAAUGAGGAACGAAUCGAGUAAGUGAAGCAGUGUGGCGAAUAAAGUAUAGCCAGAGAUGGUCUAGAUACUAUGAUAUGCAUAGGUUGUGAGUUGGAAAGAUGAGAUUAAGCUGUGUGUGGAAGCGGAUUUAAGGCAAGUUUUCCUAAAUACUUCCUCACAUAUAUAUAUUGCAUGUUCUGAUUAUUCUGUCCAGACUAUGUUAUUGCUUAUACUGAAACCCUUCUCAAAUAAACUCUUAUUUCUGAGAAUGAAACCCAUGAUUGUUUUCAACUUUCAAGUCUUUGAAAAGCCAAACACCCAAAUACUCUCACUUUCUAUUACAAGUAUUCUGAUCCAUUCUUUCCAAUCCUCAAGAUUUUAAAAAUAUCAGCUUUACAAAUUAAUUCGAAGUUCAGACCGUCAUUGAAGCAUGGGUUGCUCAGUGAUAGUUAGAACCUAGAAUGAGUUGGGAUCUUCUUGAUUAUUCAACCCGCCAUUGUCAUGCUGGUUUAGCAGGCUAAAUUCAGUUGCUUAGCCGAUAAUGGAGGAUACUGAAUAGUUAGGAAUUUCCUGAACUAUGAUUUAUCAAAAGACAGACUGUGGUUUAUGAAAUGUUGAUUCUCAAAAGUUGGUUUGGAAUAUUUCUGUUGUUGAUAAUGAUUAUGAUUCUGUUCUGUUGAUUAAAUUGUCUAUUGAUUUAAAUUGUUAGAAUUGGAUUAGUUUUUAUAAAAUAUGUGGACCAGAUUCGUGGUCAGACCAGAUUCGUGGUCAAUUAUAGGCCAAUGUGUGCCUUGGAUCCAGUAUAGAGAACAGGGCUGUGUGCCAUGUUCGGGGUUAGUGCGUGACUGAUCAGCAGCCUAACCUUUGGUUUUUAAGUAAAAAUGUGAUGAAUCCAAUUCGACAAUUCUUCUGUAAGUUUGAAUUCUGAUUUCAAUUGCUGAUAAGAAUUGUGAAGUUUUCAAUUACAUAUCCUGAACUUGUGAACCCUGAUAAGAUAUUUCAGGACUAUUGUUGCUUAUAUACACUUGCUGAGCAUUGUUGCUCACCCUUGCUAUUCCUUUUUAACCAUUUCAGAAAAGCUUAGAGAUGAAUUGCUUGAUUGAGAUUGCGAGUAUGGCUAAGGCUAAGCGAGGAGUCAGAGUUAUAGAAUAUCCAGAGGACAAGUGGAAUGUCCAGGGAGAUUGUCAAGGUUGGUUCUAGAUAGAAUUGUAUUGAUGAGAUUCAGUUGUAAGUCAUAAUUGAAAUAGAUUGACAGUGAUUCUUCUUAUCGAAGAUGAUCUGAGAUUGUAAGACAUUGUUUAUUGAUAGUGGUUGAUUCUAAUUUCAAUACUGUAACCUGGAUGCGAUCCUGUUUUUAGGGGGUUAAAGUGUUUUCUUUUAAAUCUUUUAUUAAAGUCUUCAAGUUUUAAAUGCUUUGAUUUUUAUUUUCUCCUCAAAAAUACAGGUUUUCAAAAGUGUUUAAAAAUGGGUUUUGUGUGGUGACGUCAGAAUCCAGACCCCCGGAUUCUCGGGCUGUCACAGUUAGUCUUGGGGGAGAAUCGCCUAAGCAAUCAUUUCAGGAAAAUGCCAUUUUUCUUCAAAAAUCAUGAAACAACCAACAUUAAUUUGUGUGGCUUGAUAAAGUUGGUAAAACUUGCAAACCGCAACUACACCGUGUCAAACGAAAAUCGCAUAAAACACAUCACAAGAACGCAGUGCGAUAUGAUGCGGGUUGUGUGAUUUAUACAUUUAAAAAAUAAAUACUUUUCGAUGAACAUAUAAAUAUAAUUUUAAAUUAUAUAUAAAUCAAUUAUAAUAAAAUUAUGUAAAUAUUUACAAUUUAGAGCUACAAGAUUAGUAAAAAGAUAUAAACUAAAAUAUAAGUAUGCUAAUAAUGAAGAUAAAAAGAUAUCGAUACAAAAAAAUUAAUUUUAUAGAAACAAACAUAAUUGUAAUGUAUAGUUAGUAACAUUAGAAUUACUCUUAAUUUAUAAUGUAAAAAUUUAUUAAAAAUUAGUAAAAAAUAUUAGAAUCCUGAACAUAUUAUUAGUAAUAAGGGGAAGAUGAGGAUGAGGUCAAGUCAUCAUAUCUUUUGUGUCCGGGGAAACACAAGUGCUACAAUGUCCUGGAUAAAGGAUCGCAAUCCUAUGAGAUUGAGCUAACGCCAAAAAUCCGUUUCCAGUUCGGACUGCACUCCAAGCUUGCAACUUACCUGCAUGAAGUCAGAACUGCCAGUAAUCGUCGGUCAACCAUAGAUCAAUAAAUUCAUUUCUACUGUCACUCUAUGAGAGCUGAUCAUAUCUGAAGUCAUUAAG
rnacentral:lncRNA from 1 species